GUGCUCGCUUCGGCAGCACGUAGACUAAAAAUAGAACAAUACAGAGAAGAUUAGCAUGGCCCCUGAACAAGGAUGACACGCAAAUUUAUGAAGCAUUCCAUAGUUUU
ensembl:snRNA U6 U6 spliceosomal RNA